rnacentral:rRNA from 1 species
GCUUACGGCCACACCUCCCUGAGCACGCCGAUCUCGUCUGAUCUCGGAAGCUAAGCAGGUCGGGCCCCUGUUUAGUACUUGGAUGGGAUACCGCCUGGAAUACCAGGUGCUGUAAUCC